rnacentral:ncRNA from 1 species
AUUCGUAUUUCAUAGUCAGAGGUGAAAUUCUUGAUUUAUGAAAGACGAACAACUGCGAAAGCAUUUGCCAAGGAUGUUUUCAUUAAUCAAGAACGAAAGUGGGGGCUCGAAGACGAUCAGAUACCGUCCUAGUCUCAACCAUAAACGAUGCCGACCAGGGAUCGGCGGAUGUUGCUUUUAGGACUCCGCCGGCACCUUAUGAGAAAUCAAAGUCUUUGGGUUCCGGGGGGAGUAUGGUCGCAAGGCUGAAACUUAAAGGAAUUGACGGAAGGGCACCACCAGGAGUGGAGCCUGCGGCUUAAUUUGACUCAACACGGGGAAACUUACCAGGUCCAGACAUAGUAAGGAUUGACAGACUGAGAGCUCUUUCGAUUUUUUUUUUUUUUUUUGAGGUGAAUGUGAAUCUUUAUUCCAAGUAAACAAAAUAAUACAUGAUACACUAGGGCAUACCCUAGGAUAUACUUAGUUGUAACCAUUUACAAUGGUUACGGCACAAGUGCCAAAAUGAUAUGGAGACAAGUUUCUAGCCUCCAGAACAUAUGUUUAUGCUCCCAACACUAAAAUCCACUAGACACAGUAGAACAAAA